AUGGCUCAGGAUGAACGCUAGCUACAGGCUUAACACAUGCAAGUCGAGGGGCAUCAGGGAGAAAGCUUGCUUCUUGCUGGCGACCGGCGCACGGGUGAGUAACGCGUAUCCAACCUUCCCCCAGUAGGGCAUAGCCCGGCGAAAGUCGGAUUAAUACCCUAUGUUGUGUCAUGAGGACAUCUGAAUAACACCAAAGAUUUAUCGCUGGGGGAUGGGGAUGCGUCCGAUUAGGUUGUUGGCGGGUAACGGCCCACCAAGCCCGCGAUCGGUAGGGGUUCUGAGAGGAAGGUCCCCCACACUGGUACUGAGACACGGACCAGACUCCUACGGGAGGCAGCAGUGAGGAAUAUUGGUCAAUGGGCGUAAGCCUGAACCAGCCAAAGUAGCGUGCAGGACGACGGCCCUAUGGGUUGUAAACUGCUUUUAUGCGGGGAUAAAGUGACGUACGUGUACGUUUUUGUAGGUACCGCAUGAAUAAGGACCGGCUAAUUCCGUGCCAGCCGCCGC
rnacentral:rRNA from 1 species